AAUGAUUAAAUCGGUAGCUGCUGC
rnacentral:siRNA from 1 species